CAGCCGCCGCGGUAAAACGUAGGGUGCAAGCGUUGUCCGGAAUUAUUGGGCGUAAAGAGCUCGUAGGCGGUUUGUCGCGUCUGCUGUGAAAUCCCGAGGCUCAACCUCGGGCUUGCAGUGGGUACGGGCAGACUAGAGUGCGGUAGGGGAGAUUGGAAUUCCUGGUGUAGCGGUGGAAUGCGCAGAUAUCAGGAGGAACACCGAUGGCGAAGGCAGAUCUCUGGGCCGUAACUGACGCUGAGGAGCGAAAGCGUGGGGAGCGAACAGGAUUAGAGACCCCAGUAGUCCCUGUCUCUUAUAA
rnacentral:rRNA from 1 species